UUUUUUGUUGCUUUACAUUAUAAAAGGAUGCAGAAAACACAAUGCAAAUAUUCCUUCAAAAAAUUGAUAACUGAAACAGUUCUCAAUUGGAUAACAUGGAGCGAAUAAUAUUACUUGCUGCGAUUUGUCUGGCUGUAUUUUUUGCCAUUGCCAAUGCUUGUGCAAACUUCGGUGAUGGAUGCACUCUUGCAAAUGGAGGUGCGGGGGUUUGCAUGUACGACUGUGAUCCACCGGAUCAAUUCUGCACAGGCGGUAGUCUUAUCUGCAUAGCAAAAACAUAGAAACGAUGAAGGACAGGAAACGAAGAGGAGCAACAAAAAUAAUACAGCUGGACCAACAAUCACCAAGACUAAUAAUAAUCUACUUAUUUUGAAAAUAAUUGUGUAUCAAAUUUAAAAAAAAAGAAUAUUAAAAUAAAAAAAAAGAAAACACCACCAACAACAACAAGAAAAAGAAAAGAAAACAACAACAACUUUUAUCAACUUUGUAUUUGGGAUCCUAAACAACUGCAUAACAUCAUAUA